rnacentral:rRNA from 1 species
GAAUAUUGGACAAUGGGGGGAACCCUGAUCCAGCCAUGCCGCGUGUGUGAAGAAGGCCUUUUGGUUGUAAAGCACUUUAAGCGAGGAGGAGGUGGUCUUGGUUAAUACCUCAGAUGUCUUGACGUAACUCGCAGAUUCAGCACCGGCUAACUCUGUUCUAGCAGCCGCGGUAAUACAGAGGGUGCAAGCGUUAAUCGGAUUUACUGGGCGUAAAGCGCGCGUAGGUGGCCAAUUAAGUCAAAUGUGAAAUCCCCGAGCUUAACUUGGGAAUUGCAUUCGAUACUGGUUGGCUAGAGUAUGGGAGAGGAUGGUAGAAUUCCAGGUGUAGCGGUGAAAUGCGUAGAGAUCUGGAGGAAUACCGAUGGCGAAGGCAGCCAUCUGGCCUAAUACUGACACUGAGGUGCGAAAGUAUGGGGAGCAAACA